rnacentral:rRNA from 1 species
AUUGAACGCUGGCGGCAGGCUUAACACAUGCAAGUCGAGCGAGCGGCGGACGGGUGAGUAAUGUCUGGGAAACUGCCUGAUGGAGGGGGAUAACUACUGGCAACGGUAGCUAAUACCGCAUACCAUCAGAUGUGCCCAGAUGGGAUUAGCUAGUGGGUGGGGUAAUGGCUCACCUAGGCGAUGAUCCCUAGCUGGUCUGAGAGGAUGACCAGCCAAAUGGGAACGGAGACAGGGUCCAGAUUCCUACGGGAGGCAGCAGUGGGGAAUAUUGCACAAUGGGCGCAAGCCUGAUGCGGCAAUGCGGCGUGGUUGAAGAAGGCCUUCGGGUGGUAAAGUACGUUCAGCGAGGAGGCGGUACCCGCAGAAGAAGCACCGGCUAACUCCGUGCCAGCAGCCGCGGUAAUAC